CAUAGUGCCUGCCUGGCACACCGUGGGCGCAUGGAAAAUAUUUUCUGAAUGAGUUGGGCCGGUUCUUGAAAAGAUCGCUAUAGGCUGGGGGGAAAGAGGCCAAAGACAGCUGGUUCCUCUGCAAAGAAAGCUCUCAAAAACCUCCCUGUCCAAACUCUCCUGUCUCCCCUCUUUCCUGAUGAGUGCCUACGAAACCCAGCUGUCACUGUUGUUGGAGGACCUGACAGAGGGACCCGGGCAGCGACCUGGUGUAUCACCUCCUUCCUGGUUCCCUGGAGAUGAGGCCAUCCAGGCAUCUCGACCCCCAGCCAGGCCACAUCCACAUCCAUCACACCUCUGCUGGCUUCUCCAUGGAAGAAUCUUUUUUUUUUUU